rnacentral:rRNA from 1 species
AUGAACGCUGGCGGCGUGCCUAAUACAUGCAAGUCGAGCGAACAGACGAGGAGCUUGCUCCUCUGACGUUAGCGGCGGACGGGUGAGUAACACGUGGAUAACCUACCUAUAAGACUGGGAUAACUUCGGGAAACCGGAGCUAAUACCGGAUAAUAUAUUGAACCGCAUGGUUCAAUAGUGAAAGACGGUUUUGCUGUCACUUAUAGAUGGAUCCGCGCCGCAUUAGCUAGUUGGUAAGGUAACGGCUUACCAAGGCAACGAUGCGUAGCCGACCUGAGAGGGUGAUCGGCCACACUGGGACUGAGACACGGUCCAGACUCCUACGGGAGGCAGCAGUAGGGAAUCUUCCGCAAUGGGCGAAAGCUUGACGGAGCAACGCCGCGUGAGUGAUGAAGGUCUUCGGAUCGUAAAACUCUGUUAUUAGGGAAGAACAAAUGUGUAAGUAACUAUGCACGUCUUGACGGUACCUAAUCAGAAAGCCACGGCUAACUACGUG